GCUUAUUACCAAGUCAUCUAGAAAUGCCGCCCAUCUUGUCAGAUCUCGGAAGUUAAGCAGGUCUGAGCCUGGUUAGCACUUGGAUGGGCAAUCACUGCUAUAAGCCUAUAAGAGGCUCUUGUAGGCU
rnacentral:rRNA from 1 species